rnacentral:lncRNA from 1 species
GGGCACAACUGGCCCUAAUUUUUCGUCCUCUCCAAUUCCAACUCUUUUCUUCUCUCAACUCUCUUUUCUCCUCCUCCACAUUUGGCCAUACUUUUUUUUUCUAAUUAGUGUUGAUCACUCUCUGAUCCACACUCUCCACUGAUUUUUCGUGUCGCCACUCUUCAAUUUCAAUUCCAUUCUCCACUCUCUAAUGCUUGAUCUGGUAGCCCUUUUUUUCUUUUAAUAUCUGGUGUCAUUUUGCAUAAAACUUUUGAGUGUGAAUUUUGGGUGACCUUAAGGAGAAAGUUAUUAAUUUUGGCCUCUCCUUACUUAUUUAAUUGUUUGGGAUUAUGUGUUUAACAAUCUGAAUAAUUUUCUUUUUUUAUUAAUUGAAUGAUUGUUGCUGGUUAGGGUUGAAGCGGCAUCUAUGGAAUGCAAAAAUAUUUUGAGAAGUGAUUUCCAUGGGCACUUGGGAGCUUAAGAUUUCAAGACGGUAAGUUUUUUUCUAUUUUUUGUCAUAUUCAUGCUCUGUUAUUUUAAUAUUUAAUUUGAACCGCUUUGGAUUCUAUAUAUUUAUAGAAUGCUCUGUAUUGUUCUGUUCUAUUUAUAAAAUGUAGUAUUGAAAAAAAAAAGAAAAAAAGUCUUGUCUUUAGUGUUCUAUUUGUGAUACAAGAUGCUACCAGAAGCUCAUCGAUGUUCUGUUAAAGGUGGAAGCUUACAUAGUGAUGGAUAAUUUAGGAAUGAUGUCGGUGUCUACUAUAUCUUCUAUAACUUUGCUUAUUGAAUUGGAUGUUAAGGAUAUGGGUGUGCUUUAGGAGUAUCCAUGAGAUGAGAAGUAAAAUUGUGUGAGAUCAAGAUCGAGUUUAGUAAUUAAAGCCGAGCUCACUCUUCAUCGACUCGCUAAAGAUCUCAUCCUAGAAGGUCAUUUAUGAAAAAAAAUCAAUCUCUUUUUACUUUUUAUUUUUAAUUUUUUUCUUUUUCUUUUUUAAUUGGAAUUUCAGAUUUUUUUUCCGCUUGAUGAAAUGUAUAAAUAAGAUAAUAUGUUUUAACAUCGACAUAUUUUGUUUGUUUCCUGUAAGAUGUUAUAACUAUAAAUUCUGUUUUUUUUUUAUUUGUAUUAAGUCCAGAUCAACAUUCUAUUAAGGAAAAAAGAAAAGAAAAGAAAAGAAAAACACAGUAGAUUAGUAGAUGUUAUGAUGUGUAUUGUGAGGAGAGUUUUGUUGUAAUUCCUUAAUCUUGGAACCAUUUAUAGCUCUAACAUGUGCAAGAUGGAUCAGCAUUCCAUGUACUAGUCAACACAUCUUUGGCAUGCUAACUGAUCUUUUUGAUAAAUUUUUUGCUUUAUUUCUCCCUUUGUAUGUUCUUUGGUGAUGAAUAUUUUAUAUGAUGUGUAUCAUGCAAAUAUGUUUACUUGAUAAUCUUUUUUAAAUUUGGUGUUGGUAAUCAAAAGUCUAGAAAAAGUUGGAUCACUCAAUUUAUAUUUUUUUUUAAAAUUUCCUUACUAGAGUGUAUUCAUGCAUAAUUUUAAUUACUCUAUGUAUAAAUGGUAGUUGGUAUUUUAUUGUCAUGAAAUGUGUUCAUUUUCUUUUCAGGGCCAUUUGGCAUCUUGCAACUAAGGCGAUAAAUGAUCUUGUUAGUGGUAGCUAUUACAAUUCAGCUGGGAAGGCUCCCAAUUUUUUCUUUUUUUUAUUCUUUUCUCUUGCAGUAAGGAUUAUUUUCUUUAGGAUAAAAGGGCACUUAGCUUUCCCAAUUUUUCAUUUUGUUUCCUUUUGUCUUGAGUUUCUGUAGUCUGUAAUUCAGCAUUUGGAAGGAUUUUGAUCUACUUGUUACAGUGUUCUUUAAUCACAGUAGUAAAUAAAAAUAUGACAUGAAGCAGUAAUUUGUAGUAUGAAUGGAAGGUAUAAAAAUAGAUAUUGAACUCUUCUUAUUUUAAUUUGUAUAUCAUUGUGUCUUAUUACUCUAGGGAUUGUGGAGUAUUCAACUCCUAUUUUAUUAUUUUUAACCAAUUCUUUUUUACAAUAUGUUCAGUUCUACUCCAGUGAUAUUAUUAAUGGGAAAUUUUAUUUGUUUUCAUGAAGAUCCAGUUUGCUUGAUUAUUGUUGCCAAUGUAAUUGAUCGGCAUUUUUGUUAUUGCCGAUAUUUUCAUGAUCUAAAACCUGAAUUUAGACAUUUAUUUGAAAUAAAUUUUAUUUUUCAUAUUAAAAUUUUUUUCAGAGGAAAAUAAGAACAGGUCAAUCCAUGUGAUUGUAAACUUGUAAUUCAUAAAUGAUAAUUGAGAAUAUUGAUUGUUAUUGUUAAAUUUUCAAAUUAAAUUUAUUAAGUCUUAUGAAGAUAGAUAGCAUAGCUUUUCGAAAUGGUUUCAGUUAUAUCAUGAAAAAUUGGAGAACUUAUUUCGGAAAUUGAAAAUUAUAUACCGUUCUUGUUUUUAGGAGACAUGCAUUCUUGAAAAAGAAUGAUGCUCUUUAAAUCAUAAUAAAAAAAAUUGAUUAUAA